GACGGGACCCGGCACAAGCGUGGAUGAUGUGGAUUAAUUCGAUGCAACGCGAAGAACCUUACCUACCCUUGACAUGUCCGGAACUUGCCAGAGAUGGCUUGGUGCCCGAAAGGGAAUCGGAACACAGGUGCUGCAUGGCUGUCGUCAGCUCGUGUCGUGAGAUGUUGGGUUAAGUCCCGCAACGAGCGCAACCCUUAUCAUUAGUUGCUACGCAAGGGCACUCUAAUGAGACUGCCGGUGACAAACCGGAGGAAGGUGGGGAUGACGUCAAGUCCUCAUGGCCCUUAUGGGUAGGGCUUCACACGUCAUACAAUGGUCGGUACAGAGGGUUGCCAAGCCGCGAGGCGGAGCCAAUCCCACAAAGCCGAUCGUAGUCCGGAUUGUUCUCUGCAACUCGAGAGCAUGAAGUCGGAAUCGCUAGUAAUCGCAGGUCAGCAUACUGCGGUGAAUACGUUCCCGGGUCUU
rnacentral:rRNA from 1 species